AGUGUUUGCACAGGACCCGGGCGCAGCCACUGGGGCUGGCGAGGACACACCUGGUCCCGGCCAGCGCGGCGGAGGGCAUCGUGACUCCAGGCUGUACCGCGGCCCCCAACGAAGCACGUGACCCUCGUGUGGUCAUAAAGGGAGAGCACAGUUUUACGGGGAGGGACUGGGUAGCGGUCUCAGUAACAGGCAGAGUGCCAUAGUGUCAGUCCCUUUUCCCAAACUCCGAUCAGGAAGGGAAACACCCCCACCCACUCCGCUCCCAUCCCCAGAAGUCCCUCAGAAGCUCUUUUCUCCCCGAAGAGGACCCUGGGAAGGUGGCUCCCGCCUCACUCCUAGAGUGAAAUCCUCGCAGCCCUGCCCUCGCGGGCGGAGCAGAGACGCCGCCGCUUGGCCGGUUCACGCCUGUCACACAAAGCCGCCGAGGGUCGGCUGCGCCCCUGGCAAGGCUGUAGGGCUGGGGAUACUGAGUAUGACAGGCGAGGUCCCUGCUCUCAAGAACUUACAUGGGAGAGAAGGGGAGACAAGAUAAACAGGAGCCAGAGAAUUCUCGUAGCUGUGAUUAGACAUCAACCUUGGGCAUGCUAAACAUUUCAGCCUGGACACCCUGAGAAGAGCCAGUGCCACUGGUGACAGCUGCUUCUGUGCGGGCUUUUGCUUGGCCAGAGAGGCAGGACCUUCUCCCUGGCAUUUUGAGGAGUGGUGCCGGGUGGGCAGUGACUGCACUAGCAACAGUCUAUACCAAGAGAAGACCUCAAAUUCCCAGAGAAGAAAGGCAGCGAGGCCAAGAAAUGCUGCCGCCGCUUAACAAGUGAAGAUGCAUACUGGAGAAUAGGAACUGAACACGCGAAGGAGUUUCGGCUUUACUGCCUUCUCUCCUAGCAUUGAACAGAUCUUCUCUGCUGUUGAUUAUUCUCCAUGAAUCAUCAUCCAUAGAAAGUGACUGAGGCAAUAGAGAGUGAAUAAUGAAUCUCUCAAAUAGUCUUUUGUGUUUCUGCCUGGAGGGUUUUGGAAAUAACUUGCAUCUUAAUCUUUCUGACUUAGAAUCAUAGAAUUUGGGAGCUGAAAAGGACCUUCAUCAGGGCAUGUGGCCUCACAGAAAGACUGGAAGAAAAGAUUUGUGGGUAUGAGCCUCUGGUUCAUCACUAAAAAUAGGCCUAGUCUAACAUAUAUUGGAGGCUUUCCUUGUGUCAGGUACUCAUUUAUUCUUCCAAAACCUUGGGAGGUAGGUGCUGCUAUUCCUCCAUUCUGCAGAGGAGGAAGAGAUGAGGAGACAGUAGAUCACCAGAGGGCAGUGUGAGGGGUGUGCUGGAACCAUCAUGUGGAACUGGCUCUGGUUCCAGAAUCCACAUCCUCUCGGUCAUUCCACUCCCACAUCAAGUGGCUUUGGACAAGUAAUUUAACUUCUUUGGAUCUCAGUUUUCUCCUCCGUGAUCUCUAAAGUUUAAAAAUUACUAACAGUCUGCAUCUGCCACCCAAGCAUGUGAUUUUACAAGUCAGAAAAGUGUAGCGCAGAAAUGUUAAGUGACCUGCCCUAGGUCACCCAGGUUGCUAAGGGCAGAAUCAGCACAGAAACCCAGGCCCAGUGACCACUGCCCCCAGGCAAGACCUCCUUCCCUUCCACUGCACUUUGGCAGGUGUUCUAGGGGAAUCCAACUCCUUGCCUUAGAGGAGACCUGUUCAAUGAUAUCAGAUAGACUGGAGAUGUUACGUUUUGGUGUGGCCAAUCACAACACCAGGAUGAGCUUAGGAGGCUGGUGAUAUUUGUCUAUCUAAGCACCCCCAACCUAUCUAUCUGUCUGCUGUUUGUCUAUCUUUCUCAGGUUAUGCAUAGUGACCAAACCCCGCCUGGUAACUGUAGGGAAAGAGCAUGACUGGUGUGUUACAGCUACACACGCCCCCUGGUGGUAUUUCCAGUUGUUUGUCCUCUUCAUGCAAAUGUUGCCACCUUGUGCCAGCUCUCUCACCUAGCUUCCUUCAUGACGACAGUGGUUGCAAUUCUGCUCCUCUCUCUGCCUUCCCCUGUCCUUGGCUCCCCAUGUCCAGAAUCUGAUCAUUUACUGGUGUGCACCCUGGGAUGUGAUGUGUGCUUUGGGAGGAGACAGGACCCAACAGUAUCUCAGCUGUGCUCUGGUAAUCAGUGUGCACCACAUUACAAGCAUCCUCAUCCCAGUAUCCUCCCUAUUGAAAAAGAAAUGGGAAAGGGGUGGAUGUGUCAAUAAACACAACAUUGAAGGCAUCUGAAAUAGAACAAGGACAUCCUGGGUGAGGCAUUAUUCACAAUGUGUAUCCAUAUAUGUGUGUGAGUGUGUGUGUGUGUGUGUGGUUCAGACAGUCUGAAAUGAGCUCUCACCCACUGGUGAGUGGAAAAUUAGCUUUGGCAGGUGAAGAACUGGGUGACAGGUGAGGAAGCCACCAGGGUAUCAGUGUUAUCCUUCUACUAUUGCUGUUUCUGGUGUUGCUAACAAUAUCUCUCCCACCUCUCCCUGUUCCAUGAAAUGUAAUUAGGUAGAGUAGAAAUGACUUGGAAGGGCUUGGGCACGUGGGAGAGUAAUAUGAAGAUGUUACAAUGGCCUUGUGACCUUGUAAGUGAGCCAUGUGCUUGCAGGUGGGCUGCGCUAGGCUAGUUGCGAAUUAGCAUUUUCCUGACGGCCCAUGAAGCAAGCUGUGUGGUUUUCAUUUCUAGUGGGUGGAAGAAAAGAUGGCACUCCAGGGACUAAGUCCUAGGAAAUUCUGCCAUCUGGCAUAAUGUUGGAGGCAGUGUGUGCCAGGGCAGGAAAUAUGGGUUCUUGGGCUGGCUCUAGAUUGGCCCUGUAAUCUCUAAUGCCUCAGUUUCUCUAACUGUAAAGUGGGACAGAUAAUCCCACUGCUACCUUCUUGUGAAGGUAAAGUAUGCAAAGGCCCUUUGAAAUGUCGAGAGCACGGUUCUAAAUGUGGCUUGCCUGCCAAAGGAAUUUGCCAGGCCUACUGGGAGGCAGCAGUUUGCUUCUGUGUCAGUUUCUACAGUCUGUGCUCAGACAGGUACUUAAGCAUCUCACAUCCAUAAAUCUCACCUCCUAUCUAUAGUCAGCAAAUAAGAAAAAGGGCAGGCUGAUGCUCUGCUUCUGUCUGAUCUUCUUACCAAUCCUACCCUUGCCUCCCCUCCCCCUGACCUGAUGCGAUGAUCUUGCUGCUCUCCCUCAUCUGUUCUGGGCCUGUCAGUUUAAUUUAACAAGGUUCUGGGAGAGGUUUGAUUUAAUCAACCCAGUUGCUGUAUCCAUCCUGCUCAGAGGUCCCUCAGUGUCACCACCGAGGCUCAGAUUAGACAGUGACAAUUACUUCUUCUUUCCUGGCUAUUGCCUCCCCCUUCCCUUUCACUCCCUGGAGGGAACAAGGAGGCAGACCAAUCUCUUGGGACCUAAGAAUAGAUGCGGGAGGAUCAAAGGAGGGAAACAGGCUCUGGCCUGAGAAAGCCCCUCUCCAUACCUUACAUGGCCUUGUUUAAGGCUGAGUAACAGCCCAAAGGGUGGAGGGAAUAGAAAAUGUGAGCGAAGCUGCCUUGCAAAGGCUCAAGGCUGCCUGAGGACAGAGCUGUGCCAUCACUGAUGGCCCCACAGAGAUAAAACCAGUCUCCCUUAUUGUCAGGAAACUGGGGUGGAGGGUGGGUAGAGAAGUAAGAUAGCUGCAUGCUCUAUGUACUCCAGACCACGAGCAUUUAUUUCCAGGUUCUCGGCCUGGAUUCUGGGGUCUCCGGAGCUGGGAGACAACCACAACAACAGGAAGGCGAGGCCCCAUCCAUCUGAGCUUCUGUGGCUCUGUUCUUGGUGUGGAAGCUGCAGUGACAAGAGGAGAUGCCACCUGAGCCAGGGGUUCAGGGGCAGCUGUGUGGGUGUGAGGUAACUAUGCUGUGUGUGUUGGGGUGUGUGUGUGUGUGUGUGUGUGUGCGCGCGCGCGCGUGCUAGGGAGCCAAGGCAGGGGAGUCUCUGGUGCAGACAGUUCAAAAUUCCAGAACAAAUCUCUUUUGUUGUCAUUUAACCCUUUCAUUUCCCUCUCUUUUCAGGAAGUGGGUGCUCAGCACCUCUUGUUCUCCUAAUCAGCUCAGAGAAGAGACAAAGGCCUCUUCAAGGGAAGCCCUUACUUAGGGUGAUAGAAAUUCUUUUUCUUUUUGCUCCUUUGUGUCACAUUCUUCCAUCGGUCAGCAGGCAACUGACAGGUGUACCCCUCCCUGAGCCCCAUUCAGAGUUCCCCUCCCUGCCAUUUGUCUCUCACCCAGAUAUCCAGCAGACACCACCAUCCACAGGAGCUGAAUAUGAUUAGCAGAAACCCUUCCUGACAGCUCCAAAGAGGAUCCCUCAAAUGCAUAUUCUAUUGAGUGCAUCUCAUUGCUGCUGACAGCCGCUUUAUCAAUUAAAUUCCACAUUCCGUCUUCAGAGAUG
rnacentral:lncRNA from 1 species